AUUGAACGCUGGCGGCAGGCUUAACACAUGCAAGUCGAGCGAGUGGCGGACGGGUGAGUAAUGUCUGGGAAACUGCCCGAUGGAGGGGGAUAACUACUGGAAACGGUAGCUAAUACCGCAUACCAUCGGAUGUGCCCAGAUGGGAUUAGCUAGUAGGUGGGGUAACGGCUCACCUAGGCGACGAUCCCUAGCUGGUCUGAGAGGAUGACCAGCCACACUGGAACGGAGACACGGUCCAGACUCCUACGGGAGGCAGCAGUGGGGAAUAUUGCACAAUGGGCGCAAGCCUGAUGCAGCCAUGCCGCGUGUAUGAAGAAGGCCUUCGGGUUGUAAAGUACUUUCAGCGAGGAGGCGUUACUCGCAGAAGAAGCACCGGCUAACUCCGUGCCAGCAGCCGCGGUAAUUC
rnacentral:rRNA from 1 species